UCCCUAAUGGAUCCGGAGAACCUUUAGCGUCCUUCCAAGAAUGUCGAAAAUUAUAACAGGUGUUGUUUGGAUAGCUGGUUUCACUGGCGUGGGAUGGUGUCUGAUGCAAACAAUCACUCCUACGGAAGAACAAAUACGUGAAAAACUGCGUAGAGAAAACAAUGUCUCAGAGUGGACCAGGCAAAACAAUAAAGACUUAAUGGCUGCUUUGAAGAAAACAGCAGGCAUUGAAGAUGACAAGAAUAAAAAGAGUUCAUGAAUCGAAACAGAGGGAGGGCUUUAACUUUCCGAAAGUCAUGGAGACUUCACAUUUCUUAGAAAGCAGGCACUAUUUCAUGCAUGUGAAGAAAUUCAUCAGUUUUGCAACAGAAUUAUGAGUUUGUUUGAUCAAGAUCAAUUGUGAAGCAGGAUGAUAGUCGAGUACAUUGGUCUUGGCGUAUCAUUUCAAGAUGCUCAGACUGGUUACCAUAACAAAAUGUCAGUCGGGUUGAAAGGAUUGUAAUUUUUCUCUUUACCAAUAGAACUUAUCAGGGGUGUCAUUACACUAACAAUUACAUUUAAGAUCCUGGUUAAUUAGAGGUCUUCUUGUAUUGCUGUUCUCAAAAGGUGAAGCACUAAGGCUUUGUCACAAGAUGAGGACUGCUAUAGGAAGAUAAAAAUUUGUUGGUUUGUGCUGAGGUAGAAAAGAUGGAAUAUGGUGAUUGAUUAAUCCUAAAUGUGGGCAACACAAUUAAGUUAAACACAUUAAAAGUAACAUGAAAUUUAAAGUAUGAGUGUACGAUUAAGUAUGAGUGUACGAUUGAAGGGUUGUAAGACCAUCACGUGUGCAUGAAUUUUGUGUGCUCAAAUGUGAUUUCUGUGGUAGCUUAAAGACUGACGAAAGUGGAACCAUUUUGGACAAAUGCUAUUGGAGGUAUUGUUCGAAUCAGGCCUGUUUGAUUCACAUUUACAUGAAAGCUGUUUAAUGAUGUAAUAAAGAAUCAUUAGAUUUGUGA